GGGGCAAAUCUUAAUAGACUUUUCACCCAUUUCCUUCAGGUCUGCAGUUGCAUUCACUCUUUUCCAUCUGUAAGUCAUCUGUAAUUUUUAAUUGUCAAUACAGCUGAAUAAUUUGAGAGAACAUUGCAUAAGCUGACUUCAUAAAUUGAUGUUGCUUUUCCUAAAAAGUUUUUUUUUUUACUUACCAUUAUGGUGAUUCAUGUUCCCUUUGGUUGGGCACUUGGAAUUUUGUUUACGUUUUUGUAUUUCUAUUUUUUUUUUUGGUGCAGCUGUGCAUCAAAAAAUUAUAGUUUGUGGUUUUAAAGGAAAUAAUAAGUAAGAAGUCGCUUUUAAAAGCUGAAAGCACUUGAAUCACACAGAAAUUUCAACAUUCAGUAUGCAAACAACAACAAUGAUGACUCAUGUCAAAGAAUCAAAGGGUCAAGAUUUGGCUGGUUAGCAUGGCCUUGUUAGCCCCUGCUGGUAGAUGUCGUGACUACACCAUCUGGUUUCAAAAAGUAACUUUAUCCACUGCCAGUCAUUCCGAAGCAGCCAUGUACUCCUUUGGAAUUCUCUGCCUCUUGAACUUAGGGAAGUUCAGACUUAUGAUAUUUUUAAAGUUAAACUAAAGACAAGUAUUUUUUUUUUUAAACUUGCAUUUGCUUGUUAAUGUUUAUUAUUAUUUUUCAUUUUAACUUGCAUCAUCUCUA